UCCCGCUUAGCUCAGUUGGUAGAGCGCGUCACUAGUACGGAAGUUUACACCGUUAUGACGAGGUCAGUCGUUCGAGUCGGCUAGUGGGAA